rnacentral:rRNA from 1 species
AGAAUCAACGCUGGCGGCGUGCCUCAGACAUGCAAGUCGAACGCGAAAGUCCCCUUCGGGGGGCAAGUAGAGUGGCGCACGGGUGAGUAACACGUAGGUAAUCUACCUUUGGAUGGGGAAUAACAACCGGAAACGGUUGCUAAUACCGCAUAAUGCAGCGGCACCUAAUGGUGACAGUUGUAAAGCGGGGGAUCGAAAGACCUCGCGUCUGAAGAGGAGCCUGCGGCGGAUUAGCUAGUUGGUAAGGUAAUGGCUUACCAAGGCUACGAUCC